CCCUUAGAUGUCCGGGGCCGCACGCGCGCUACACUGAAGGAAUCAGCGUGGCUUUCUCCCUGACCCGAAAGGGUUGGGAAACCCGUUGAAUCUCCUUCGUGAUAGGGAUUGGGGCUUGAAAUUGUUCCCCAUGAACGAGGAAUUCCCAGUAAGCGCGAGUCAUAAGCUCGCGUUGAUUACGUCCCUGCCCUUUGUACACACCGCCCGUCGGUACUACCGAUUGAACGGUUUAGUGAGGGCCUCGGAUUGGUCUCGGCCCGCUCUUUACCGGGCGGCGCCGUUGGUCGAGAAGACGCUCGAACUUGAUCGUUUAGAGGAAGUAAAAGUCGUAACA
rnacentral:rRNA from 1 species